rfam:Folsomia candida strain VT population Fcan01_Sc023, whole genome shotgun sequence.
UAAUCGGCCCUUUUAAGGGCCACCACAAUUUCGAAUAGCAAUUGCA